AACCCGGCCACCUUCCCUUCUGCCUUCCUGGAGCUUUUCCAACAUUUCCUUCCAUGCCAGUGGUUUUUGCCCUUUCCAGUGUUAAAGUCUCCCUGCUUGCCUCCUGCUCCUUCUAAUUGUGGCUGCAAGCUUCCAGAGAUGGCAGAAAAGCGACGACUGUGCACACGGUCACAGAAAGAAAGAAAGAAAAGAAAAGAAAAGAAAAGAAAAGAAGAAAGAAGGGAAAGGGAAAGGAAAAGGAAGACUGGAUUUGAUGCCCAGCUCUCUCCCUUUCCAGCUGUGUAGCCUUGGACAAGUUUCUUGAGCUCCAUGCUUCACUUUCUUCAGCGGUCAGUUGGCUAUUUACACCUCAUGGACCCUGGUGAGGAAUAAAUGAGUUCCUAGCCGA